rnacentral:lncRNA from 1 species
UUAAAAAGGCUAUUAUUUUUUGAAUAGAUUAAGUGCAUGUUUUUUUUUUUAAUUUCGAGCUACAUUCAUGACAUUGUAGGGGGAAAAAAUAUACAAGUGUUUUCUUAUUUACUGGUAGCCUCACCGUAGGGGUAAAUCUAUUUUUAUGUAGACAUGGUAGAGUUACAUUCAGAUUUUUUAAUUUAUAUAAAUGUGAAAAAGUCUCAUUUUCUUCUUUUUUUUUUUAAAUUUAUUUGUCAUUAAUUAUGGUCUUUUUAAGACUUUGAAUCAUGUUCAUGAUGUAACUAUUCAUGAAAAUAUCUCAAUUGUCUGUUAUCUUUACGCUUGGUUGUGCACCAAUUGGCAUUUCAUCUGUACUGCAAAUAUCUUUCAUUUGGCCCACAUUCCAUGUACAUGUAUGUACUUUUGCGCCAAUAUAACAGGAAAAUAAUAUAACCAUGUUAUUAAAAGAUCUAUAUUGAAAAAAGACUUUUAUGUAUAAAUUAAUAACAUAUUUCUGACCAUAACAAUAAAAC